UGGCUUUGCCUCCAGAGGCUCGCUAGUUAUUAGAGAGGAUAUAUACACACUGCAGACUACACAUACAUCUGUGGAAUGAUAAUAACAUAUAAAAAAACACUCAAGUCAUAUACCAUAAGUUACAACGUCUGUUUAUUUAAAGUCUCAAGAAGAUAACUGGAUAAAGGUGAAUGAUGUGGCUGUCCAAAAUUGACAGGAAGAUCUACAGAGCAGAAGAAAGCAACUGAGACUACCAGGGAAGAGCCAGCUCUGUUUAUUUCUACAAAAAGGCUCCAGCCUUCUUGAUAUGAACUGUAAUCACUGCCCAUGUAGUGUCAUCAGAAAUCUCACCAGGCAAAAUGUAGCUUGCAUCAAAUCAAAGCACUAAAAUUACCCUGGUUUGUUCUUUUUUGAAUAA